AUUGAACGCUGGCGGCAUGCCUUACACAUGCAAGUCGAACGGUAACGCGGGGCAACCGGGCGACGAGUGGCGAACGGGUGAGUAAUAUAUCGGAACGUGCCCAGUAGUGGGGGAUAGCCCGGCGAAAGCCGGAUUAAUACCGCAUGAGACCUGAGGGUGAAAGCGGGGGAUCGCAAGACCUCGCGCUAUUGGAGCGGCCGAUAUCAGAUUAGCUAGUUGGUGGGGUAAAGGCCUACCAAGGCAACGAUCUGUAGUUGGUCUGAGAGGACGACCAGCCACACUGGGACUGAGACACGGCCCAGACUCCUACGGGAGGCAGCAGUGGGGAAUUUUGGACAAUGGGCGCAAGCCUGAUCCAGCAAUGCCGCGUGCAGGAAGAAGGCCUUCGGGUUGUAAACUGCUUUUGUCAGGGAAGAAAUCUUCUGGGUUAAUACCUCGGGAGGAUGACGGUACCUGAAGAAUAAGCACCGGCUAACUACGUGCCAGCAGCCGCCGUAAAAC
rnacentral:rRNA from 1 species